rnacentral:rRNA from 1 species
ACUCGAGAGUGGCGAACGGGUGAGUAAUAUAUCGGAACGUGCCCAGUCGUGGGGGAUAACGUAGAGAAAUUUACGCUAAUACCGCAUACGAUCUACGGAUGAAAGCGGGGGAUUCGCAAGAACCUCGCGCGAUUGGAGCGGCUGAUAUCAGAUUAGCUUGUUGGUGAGGUAAAAGCUCACCAAGGCGACGAUCUGUAGCUGGUUUGAGAGAACGACCAGCCACACUGGGACUGAGACACGGCCCAGACUCC